UCUCUCUCUCUCUCUCUCUCUCUCUCUCUCUCUCUCUCUUCCCCUUGGACUCAGCCGGGUCUCAUGGGGGGCGGAAGAGAUAAGAGGGAGAUUUAAAUAAAAAACCCUAGAGAUUAGUUUGCUGAUGGAAUAAUUGAAGGGGGUUUCUCUUUUGAGGGGAAUGUUGUCUGGCUCGAGGACUCUGCUCUUCUUCUCCAUGGCAUCGUUUCUCCGUUUUUUUACACCUAAUCGGAGAUUCGAUUCGAGAUCUGAUAAGGGCUUCAGCGUCGUCGGACCAGGCUUCAUUCCCCCCAAUUAUUUCUCCUUGUACCUUCUUCUGCCGCCUCGUUCUAGGGUUUCGAUCUGGGAAUCCAUAUGUAAAGGUUUGAACUUUAUCACUUUUCCUUUAUCGAAUUCGGAUUUUUUUGCCACUGAUUUUCAGGGUGGGAAAAAGAGGGCUUGUAUGGUGGGCGUUCGAGUUCUUUGGAGACCAAACAAAAAAAAAUCAGAUCUGAAUCAUUCCAAUGCAGAGCUGUUCUUCAACGCAAUCGAAGCUUAACAACGAGCAUAACAAACAAAGGGAGCCAAUUUAAGUGUAUUUGAAGAUAUUUUUGUGUAACAUGCUGUUCAUCACUAGCCAGCCCUUUAAGUGAAAUGAUCUGUACGAACCUUAUAGCGUAAUGUAUAAUAGCGUUUCGUUAGGGUUUUGGACUGAAUUAUGCUAUUCGAUUCAAUGAUAAAAAAUAUCGCGAUUCGUAACA